CUCCUCCCUCCCUCCUCGCAGCCCAACUCCUCUAUCUCUAGCCACUCUUCCCCACGCAAUUCCUCGCCGCCGCCGCCCGAUUCCGGCGAUUUCUGGCGGCUAUUGCAGGCGCGCAGCACACCCGCAUCUUCCCCUCGCUCCGCUGCUUCCUCCCCUUCGGCUAGAUUCAACGCUGCCAGCCACCAACGCUCGCUUGCAAUACCUCCCAAUGGCUAGGGUUUCGGUGACGGUACGGCUCCGGCGGAUCCUCUCCGUCGCCUACCACCUGCUGGAUGGUGCUCCUGGCAUAGGACGUCGCAAAGGCCUCCUCCCGCAGGAUGUGCUGACAUAGCGCACCCUGCAUCGGCUUGCUCGAGAUGAGCACGGGUGUGACGGCCUAGUCCCGCUUGAAGAUGGCGGCGGCGAGCGUCGGUGCUCUUCUCGUCCUCUAUCUCCAAGAGGCGCGCGCCGGUACAGCAAAGACACCCCCGCCCCUGAACCCCGUCCACCCAUCCGGUGAUAUACAUGUCAUCCUCACCCGCUUGGAUUCGCCUCCUCCUCGACGCGACACUCCAACAUGGACGUGGAAGGAUUGUGUAGAACAGAGGAGAAGGGGCACAUGAUACCAUCCCAGUUUGUUGGCAAAGAGGCUCAUUUUAUUUGCUUUGCACAGAUGUGAGUUAAGUAGGUCUAUACCAUAUAAAGUGAGCUAACAAAAGGUGGUUCUCUUCUCUGGUAGAAAGACAUGGGUGUGUUGCUGUAGCGCCGUGUUGUUGUAGCAGUCAACAAGACAUUGAGUAAAAGUUGGGCUCCAUUGCCAUUGGGUUGAAGAGUAAGGAUGGUGUUGUCCUGGCUGUUGAGAAAUGUGUCACCUCACUGCUGCAGGUAUGAUUGAGUAGCGGGCUACUUGGUGCUUCUCAUCACAAUUCGCCAUGACCUUAUAGUUUCCAUCAGGAGGGCCGAUGGCAAGAACUUGAAUAACAACCUCAAUUAUUUAUAUGUUUUGUUUAUGUAAACUGGAGUGUACUAUUUCUUAACCUUGUUGUGUGUAUAUUUUGUCAAUCUAUGUUGUAAAUU